ACCAUGUUGGGAUGUCUUAUGGUCCCGAGUAUGUUCAGUUCUUGCUGAAAUUGUGUCUCCCCCUGUGCUGAUCCUGCUCGCAGAACCUUCACUGCCACUGCUGUGUGAUCGAGUUGCAGGAUUCUCAAUAUUCAACAAAUAAAACAUCGCUUCCUAUUCCAUUCUAUACAUAGUUGAUCAAAACAGGAAAGUGCUCACAUUGUGUUGCAAACUGGAAAGUGAUGUGCGGCUACUUUCCUCUGAAAAUAAUUGGUCCGGUGAACAGGGCUCGGUGAACUUCGGUUUCAUGUAUGUUGACCCCCAGCUAUGGUCUGAACUGGUUGAAGUUCGGCCAUUUCUGGCACAUUCAACAUGGUCAUAGAAAACAGAGGAUGAACGCACACUGCUGGGCCUGUCAGAGCUUACAAAUGAUAUGUCAGAGUCAUGUUCGGCGAAAUCCAUGGAUAACCUUCCAAUCGUCCCUGAUCUUCUGCCUGAUUGUAUCUUGCUUCAAUCAUAGAUUGGACAAGAAAAUAUUUAAGUUAAUAUCACUGUGUCAUAAAUAAUCUCAUUGUCGUAUGAAAUGGCUUCAAGAGGAAACCUACUUCAUGGAUUCACUUUGCAAGCCUAUCGGUUUGGGUGAUACCCUGUUGCCUGAAGUUAAAACAUGUAUCAAAAUAUGUGAUUUCAUCAGAACGAUUUCACCUAAACGUGAUAACCAAAACAAGAUUAAUUUGAAGAAACAAACUUUUGAAGCUCAACCGUCUACAGGAGGGUGUAUCAUAUUCACUUCCAUUCUCAUCAUUUAGAGUUUCUAUUUGCCUCUGCAGUGGGGAGGCAUGUGGAGCCCUUCGAGCAGCACUCCUAACUGAAGAUAUUCUCCCCUUAGAAAUGACAUACACACUACAGAAAUCCGGGGCUCCCUUUAAUAUGCUGCUUGGUGUACUUGUCUUGAAUCUGCAUUUAGUUGAACAGAGAUGAGUAUGCAUUAAUCACAAUACAUACAUGCGUACAUAUUAGAUUGUCCUGUCCACUAUUGUUGGAAAUCAGAAUAGGUAAUUCUGUCGGACCUUACCUAAUAAAGCCAUGCCUAGAGGCUGCACCAACCACCAAGUUCUCAAUUGCAGCAUAAUAGACAUAUUCAGUUAUUCCUUUCACCA